rnacentral:rRNA from 1 species
CAGCCGCCGCGGUAAUACGUAGGUGGCAAGCGUUGUCCGGAAUUAUUGGGCGUAAAGGGCUCGCAGGCGGUUUCUUAAGUCUGAUGUGAAAGCCCCCGGCUCAACCGGGGAGGGUCAUUGGAAACUGGGAAACUUGAGUGCAGAAGAGGAGAGUGGAAUUCCACGUGUAGCGGUGAAAUGCGUAGAGAUGUGGAGGAACACCAGUGGCGAAGGCGACUCUCUGGACUGUAACUGACGCUGAGGAGCGAAAGCGUGGGGAGCGAACAGGAUUAGAUACCCCGGUAGUCCCUGUCUCUUAUAC